AUGGGAUCUCUGGGGCAGGAUGGGAUCUAUGGGGCAGAUCCAUGGGAUCUAUGGGUUCUAUGGGGCAGGAUGGGAUCUAUGGGGCAGAUCCAGGGGAUUUUUGGGAUCUAUGGGGCAGGGAUGGAUCUCUGGGAUUCAUGGGAUCUAUGGGGCAGGAUGAGAUCUAUGGGGCAGAUCCAGGGGAUUUUUGGGAUCUGUGGGGCAGGAUGGGAUCUAUGGGGCAGGGCUGAUCUGUGGUGGCUGUGGGGCAGAUCCAGGGGAUUUAUGGGAUCUAUGGGGCAGGAUAGAAUCUGUGGGUCAAGAUUCAUGGAAUCCAUGGGAUCUAUGGGGCAGGGAUGAUCUAUGGGUCAGGAUCCAUAGAAUCCAUGGGAUCUAUGGGGCAGGAUGGAAUCUUUGGGGCAGGAUGGGAUCUAUGGGAUUUAUGGGAUCUAUGGGUCAGGAUGGAUCUAUGG